rnacentral:rRNA from 1 species
UUCCAGACUCCUACGGGAGGCAGCAGUGAGGAAUAUUGGUCAAUGGGCUUACGCCUGAACCAGCCAAGUCGCGUGAGGGAAGACUGCCCUAUGGGUUGUAAACCUCUUUUGUCAGGGAGCAAUUGGCGCUACGUGUAGCGUUAUCGAGAGUACCUGAAGAAAAAGCAUCGGCUAACUCCGUGCCAGCAGCCGCGGUAAUACGGAGGAUGCGAGCGUUAUCCGGAUUUAUUGGGUUUAAAGGGUGCGUAGGCGGACAGUCAAGUCAGCGGUAAAAAUGCGGUGCUCAACGCCGUACAGCCGUUGAAACUGGCAGUCUUGAGUGGGCGAGAAGUAUGCGGAAUGCGUGGUGUAGCGGUGAAAUGCAUAGAUAUCACGCAGAACUCCGAUUGCGAAGGCAGCAUACCGGCGCCCGACUGACGCUGAGGCACGAAAGCGUGGGUAUCGAACAGGAUUAGAUACCCUUGUAGG